rnacentral:rRNA from 1 species
AGGGCACCACCAGGAGUGGAGCCUGCGGCUUAAUUUGACUCAACACGGGAAAACUCACCCGGCCCGGACACCGUAAGGAUUGACAGAUUGAGAGCUCUUUCUUGAUUCGGUGGUUGGUGGUGCAUGGCCGUUCUUAGUUGGUGGAGCGAUUUGUCUGGUUUACUCCGAUAACGAACGAGACUCUGGCCUACUAAAUAGUGACAGGAUUAUUACUGUCUUGGAUACUUCUUAGAGGGACAAGUGGUUUUCAGCCACACGAAAUUGGGCAAUAACAGGUCUGUGAUGCCCUUAGAUGCCCGGGGCUGCACGCGCGCUACACUGAAGGAAUCAGCGUGCUAAAACCAUUGUCGAAAGGCAUUGGUAAACCCAUUAAAAUCCUACGUGAUUGGGAUCGGGAAUUGCAAUUAUUUCCCUUGAACGAGGAAUUCCCAGUAAGUGUGGGUCAUAAGCUCGCGUUGAUUACGUCCCUGCCCUUUGUACACACCGCCCGUCGCUGCCCGGGACUGAGCCGUUUCGAGA